UGUAGCCUACGGGGGGCAGCAGUGGGGAAUAUUGGACAAUGGGGGAAACCCUGAUCCAGCGACGCCGCGUGAGUGAAGAAGUAUUUCGGUACGUAAAGCUCUAUCAGCAGGAAAGAAAAUGACGGUACCUGACUAAGAAGCCCCGGCUAACUACGUGCCAGCAGCCGCGGUAAUACGUAGGGGGCAAGCGUUAUCCGGAUUUACUGGGUGUAAAGGGAGCGUAGACGGAGAAGCGAGUCUGAAGUGAAAGCCCGUGGCUUAACCACGGGACUGCUUUGGAAACUGUUUGACUAGAGUGCUGGAGA
rnacentral:rRNA from 1 species